rnacentral:lncRNA from 1 species
GUUUCUGGGAAAGCUACUUUGACUGUCUAAUGGAACGGUCUUCAAACAAUGCUUAAAAUACUUGUGUUGCAGGACCCAGUAAUCAGGCCACUACAUGAACUGGAGAAAAGUAACUUGGAAGAUAUUCUAAUUAAACGACCAGCAGAGGAAUGUCUUGUCUCAGUUGCUGCGUCUCUUUUUCCAUGACUGCUUCAUUGAGUCGGCCAACUAUGCCUCUUUGGUGACUGAUCAGCUAUCUUUGGUGGAAUUACACAUGG